GUGCUUGCUUCAGCAGCACAAAUACUAAUACUGAAAUGAUACAGAGAAGAUUAGCAUGGUCCCUUUGCAAAGAUGAUACACCAAUUUGUGAAACGUUCCAUAUUUUA
ensembl:snRNA U6 U6 spliceosomal RNA